rnacentral:rRNA from 1 species
GACCUGAGAGGGUGAUCGGCCACACUGGGACUGAGACACGGCCCAGACUCCUACGGGAGGCAGCAGUAGGGAAUCUUCCGCAAUGGACGCAAGUCUGACGGAGCAACACCGCGUGAGUGAUGAAGGUUUUCGGAUCGUAAAGCUCUGUUGUUAGGGAAGAACAAGUGCGAGAGUAACUGCUCGCACAUUGACGGUACCUAACCAGAAAGCCACGGCUAACUACGUGCCAGCAGCCGCGGUAAUACGUAGCUGGCAAGCGUUGUCCGGAAUUAUUGGGCGUAAAGGGCUCGCAGGCGGUUUCUUAAGUCUGAUGUGAAAGCCCCCGGCUCACCCUGGCAGGGUCAUUGGAAACUG